rnacentral:rRNA from 1 species
CGAAACCGAUAGCGAACAAGUACCGUGAGGGAAAGUUGAAAAGUACUCUGAAUAGAGAGUUAAAUAGUACGUGAAACCGCUUAGGGGUUAAGCCCGAUGAACCCGAAUAUCUGAUGUGAGAAAUUCAAUACUGUUCAUACAACGGAUAGUAUGCACUUUUCUCAUAGUAAGACAUUGUAAUCCAUUGAUGCUAUAUCUCUUUCAUCACGGGAGAGAUGAUUUAACAUACGGACAAGAUGUAUAUGUUUAUUCUAUCAGUGAUGUGUUUACAUGUCAUAUGAAUAAGAUCGUUUUGUACCUGUUUAAAUAGUCGAUGGAUUUUAACUGAAUCAUGCCUGCAAUUUAUUUUGCGUUUCGUAUUAUCGGCUCGGUAACGGGUUGGUGGUAGCAGAAAUGGCAUGCAUUCGAUUAACAAUGCGAUAGAUUUGGGAUGCCUUCGGGA